rnacentral:rRNA from 1 species
AGAGUUUGAUCCUGGCUCAGGAUGAACGCUAGCGGCAGGCCUAACACAUGCAAGUCGAGGGGCAGCACGGUGUAGCAAUACACUGGUGGCGACCGGCGCACGGGUGCGUAACGCGUAUGCAACCUACCCAUAACAGGGGGAUAACACUGAGAAAUUGGUACUAAUACCCCAUAACAUCAGGACCGGCAUCGGUUCUGGUUGAAAACUCCGGUGGUUAUGGAUGGGCAUGCGUUGUAUUAGCUGGUUGGUGAGGUAACGGCUCAUCAAGGCAACGAUACAUAGGGGGACUGAGAGGUUAACCCCCCACAUUGGUACUGAGACACGGACCAAACUCCUACGGGAGGCAGCAGUGAGGAAUAUUGGUCAAUGGACGCAAGUCUGAACCAGCCAUGCCGCGUGCAGGAAGACGGCUCUAUGAGUUGUAAACUGCUUUUGUACGAGGGUAAACGCUCUUACGCGUAAGAGCCUGAAAGUAUCGUACGAAUAAGGAUCGGCUAACUCCGUGCCAGCAGCCGC